rnacentral:rRNA from 1 species
UACGUAGGGACCAAGCGUUGUUCGGAUUUACUGGGCGUAAAGGGCGCGUAGGCGGUCAGCACAAGUCAGUUGUGAAAUCUCCGGGCUUAACCCGGAAAGGUCAACUGAUACUGUGCGACUAGAGUGCGGAAGGGGCAACUGGAAUUCUUGGUGUAGCGGUGAAAUGCGUAGAUAUCAAGAGGAACACCUGCGGCGAAGGCGGGUUGCUGGGCCGACACUGACGCUGAAGCGCGAAAGCGUGGGGAGCAAACAGG